CUACCGAAUUUAAUGGUGUGAAGAUAUGUUAAGUGGUAUUACGAGAAUGCUUUAACCUGCCAAAUUUCCUGCUCUUCUGUUUAGCCUUGAGCCGGUGAGCACUAAUGCUAAUAUCAACAAAAGAGUCCUCCAGAGAAGGUUUUUGCACACUGCACAGAGCAGGAACACAUGCCAUGCAAUCACUUCUACCUUCAUACACCUUUGGCUGUGGUGUGAAUGUCAUCCAAAGUGGGACUCUCAGUGUGCACCAUGACGCACAGAGUGGGCAGUUCAGUCCUCCACAGAUGUCAGGGACUGACUGUCUCUGUUGCUCACCACCGGCUCUGUUUGGCUCUUUGCCUGAGAUCACUCAACUCUUUGUCACGUUGGAUAAUGCCGGAACCAAGCGCAGUAUCUCACUCCAUUUUGUGACAAAGAUACCGUACUAAUUCCGUCACAGAGGGAUCCAGAUGGUGGAACUGCAGGUGGGUAUUUGUCCCUCAUGGCAGGCAUCCAGCUGGCCUGGCACCGCUUGGCAAAGGAACGCACAUCCAAAAUGCCCAACACACAGCCACACGCACCCAGCUCAUCCUCCAGGAUGAAACAGUACUCUGGGCACAACGCUAGGCAUGGUCCGAGACAUCUAUUGAAAUGAAAGACAUUACUAUUUCAAAAAUAUUUCUGUACCAGCUCGCCAGCGAAUGGAGAGGGAUGUAAUUGGCUUCAAACUCGCAGUUGGGGUUGAGUAACAG